AUCUACUCGAGUAGAAAGAACCCAGGAUUGGGUCAGGUCUAAUUUUGAAUCCAAACUGCUCCAUUUCUGGCUGCAUAGCAUGGGGUCCUGUUUCCUCAUCCGCCAGACGCCUGUUACUCACGAAGCUCUCUGAAGCUGUCGGAUUUGAUGAACCCAAAGUAGUAUCAGGCCCAAGUCUGGAGCUGCACAGACUGGAGUGUCUCCUGUCUGUGUUGAGGAAGGGGGGCAUCCCUGUGGGCCUGAGCUGGGCUAAGACAUGAGGCCACCCUCUCUUUUCCUUUCUCCGCCAUCGUGAUGUGUUCUUGCCUCGCUUCUCACCAUGUCUUCUCACAAGACUUUCAGGAUUAAGCGAUUCCUGGCCAGGAAACAAAAGCAAAAUCGUCCCAUUCCCCAGUGGAUUCAGAUGAAAACUGGAAAUAAAAUCAGGUACAACUCCAAAAGGAGACAUUGGAGAAGAACCAAGCUGGGUCUAUAAGGAAUUGCACAUGAGAUGGCCCACAUAUUUGUGCUGUCUGAAGGUCACGAUCACAUUACCAUAUCAAACUGAAAAUGUCACCACUAUCUGGAGAGUUCGACGUGUUUUCCUCUCUGAAUCUAUUAUGAAUGCAUUGGUUGGCUGGGUUCAGUAAUAAAUAUGUGAGGCCUUUCAUUU